UACGUAGGGUGCAAGCGUUUAAUCGGAAUUACUGGGCGUAAAGCGUGCGCAGGCGGUUGUGCAAGACCGAUGUGAAAUCCCCGGGCUUAACCUGGGAAUGGCAUUGGUGACUGCACGGCUAGAGUGUGUCAGAGGGGGGGUAGAAUUCCACGUGUAGCAGUGAAAUGCGUAGAGAUGUGGAGGAAUACCGAUGGCGAAGGCAGCCCCCCUGGGCUGAGAUUGACGCUCAGGCACGAAAGCGUGGGGAGCAAACAGG
rnacentral:rRNA from 1 species